rnacentral:rRNA from 1 species
GGGGGAAAAAUUAAUUAAAUAAAAUUAAUAAAAAGAUUUUUAAUAAAAAAAAAUAAUUUAAUGGGGGUUAAAGUAUUUUUUAAAGAAAAAAUUAAAAAAUUUAUAGUGAAUUAGUAUUGUAUAGGAAAUUUGAAAUAAUUGAAAAAUAAUUUAUAAAAAAGUAAAUUUAAUUUAUUGUAUCUUGUGUAUCAGAGUUUAUUAAAAAAUAUUUUUAGGUGAAGAUUUCUCGAAUUAAAAAGAGUUAAUUAAUUAUAAAAGUUAAUGUAGUAUAAUUAUUUUUAAUAAUUAAUUAGAAAUGAAAUGUUAAUCGUUUUUUAAUAUAUCUAGUUUUUUUAGAAAAAAAUUUAAUUUUAUAUAUUGAGAAAUAAUUUUUUUUUUAAGAAAAAGUUAUUUCUCAAUAUAAAAUAUUUUAAGGGAUAAGCUUUAAAAUAAAUUUUUAUAAUAAUAAUUAAUUUUAAUUAAAAUUUUUAGAAUUUAUAUUGUUAAAAAAUUAUAAUUUUUUAUAAAUAAUUUUAUUUUAUUUAAAAUUUAAUAUAAAAUUUAAUUUUUUAUAAAAUAAAAUUUUUUUUAAUAAUAAAAGAAAAGUUAUAAUGAUAAAAUUAGUAUAUAAAAUUAUUAAAAUAAUUAUUUGAUUUAUGAAAAUUUGAUUUAAGGAAUUCGGCAAAAAUUUAUAUUCACUUGUUUAUCAAAAACAUGUCUUUUUGAUCAUAAUUUAAAGUCUAAUCUGCCCACUGAUAAAAAUUAAAGGGCUGCAGUAUUUUGACUGUACAAAGGUAGCAUAAUCAAUAGUCUCUUAAUUGGUGACUUGUAUGAAAGAUUUGAUGAAAUAUAAACUGUCUCAAUUUAAUUUAUAAAAUUUAAUUUUUUAGUUAAAAAGCUAAAAUUUGUUUAAAAGACGAGAAGACCCUAUAGAGUUUUAUAUUUUAAUAAUUUAUUAUUUUAUAUUAUUUUAAAAAUUUUAAGUUAUUAAAUUAUUUUAUUGGGGUGAUAGAAAAAUUGAAUUAACUUUUUUUAAAAUUAAAACAUUUAUUUUUGAAAAUAUGAUCCGUAAAUUACGAUUAAAAGAAUAAAUUACCUUAGGGAUAACAGCGUAAUUUUUUUUUUUAGUUCAAAUAAGAAAAAGAGUUUGCGACCUCGAUGUUGGAUUAAAAUAAAAUUUAAAUGCAAAAGUUUAAAAUUUUUGAUCUGUUCGAUCAUUAAAAUCUUACAUGAUCUGAGUUCAAACCGGUGUAAGCCAGGUUGGUUUCUAUCUUUAAAAAAAGAAAUACUUUAGUACGAAAGGAUUAAGUAUUUAAAAUAAUUUUAAUUUUAAGAAUAUUAUUAAUUAUUAAUUAAAAA